rnacentral:rRNA from 1 species
CCUACGGGUGGCUGCAGUGGGGAAUAUUGCACAAUGGGGGAAACCCUGAUGCAGCGACGCCGCGUGAGUGAGGAAGUAUUUCGGUAUGUAAAGCUCUAUCAGCAGGGAAGAAAAUGACGGUACCUGCCUAAGAAGCCCCGGCUAACUACGUGCCAGCAGCCGCGGUAAUACGUCGGGGGCAAGCGUUAUCCGGAUUUACUGGGUGUAAAGGGAGCGUAGACGGCUGUGCAAGUCUGAAGUGAAAGCCCGGGGCUCAACCGUGGAGCUGCUUUUGAAACUGUAUAGCUUGAGUACAGGAGAGGCAGGCGGAAUUCCUAGUGUAGCGGUGAAAUGCGUAGAUAUUAGGAGGAACACCAGUGGCGAAGGCGGCCUGCUGGACAGAAACUGACGUUGAGGCUCGAAAGCGUGGGGAGCAAACAGGAUUAGAUACCCUGGUAGUC